UACGUAGGGGGCAAGCGUUGUCCGGAAUCAUUGGGCGUAAAGAGCGUGUAGGCGGCCCGGUAAGUCCGCUGUGAAAGUCGGGGGCUCAACCCUCGAAUGCCGGUGGAUACUGUCGGGCUAGAGUGCGGAAGAGGCGAGUGGAAUUCCUGGUGUAGCGGUGAAAUGCGCAGAUAUCAGGAGGAACACCAAUGGCGAAGGCAGCACUCUGGGACGUGACUGACGCUGAGACGCGAAAGCGUGGGGAGCAAACAGG
rnacentral:rRNA from 1 species